rnacentral:rRNA from 1 species
UGUAAGCGUAUACCAAAGUUGUUGCAGUUAAAACGCUCGUAGUCGGAAUUUGUCAGUUCCGGAUGUGUGCACGUCGUGUGCGCACUUCGCGGGGAUUGCUUUUGUGGUCUUGCGUAGGAUGAGGCACUUUUAUUAGUGAACGUCCUCACGCAACCACUUUUUACUGUGAGAAAAUCAGAGUGCUUAAAGCAGGCAUUUGCCGUGAAUGUAUUAGCAUGGAAUAAUAGAAUAGGACUUGGUUCUAUUUUGUUGGUUUGUUGGGACUGAGUAAUGAUUAAGAGGGACAGUUGGGGGCAUUUGUAUUUCGGUGCUAGAGGUGAAAUUCUUAGAUUACCGAAAGACAAACUGCUGCGAAAGCGUCUGCCAAGGAUGUUUUCAUUGA